AUCUUUGAACGCACCUUGCACCCUUUGGUAUUCCAAAGGGUACACCCGUUUGAGUGUCAUUGUAAUCUCACUUUAUCAGCUUUUGUUGAUGGAGGUGGACCUGGACU
rnacentral:rRNA from 1 species